UACGGAGGGAGCAAGCGUUACUCGGAAUUAUUGGGCGUAAAGGGCGCGUAGGCGAUCUGACAAGUCUGGUGUGAAAGCCCACAUGUUAACUGUGAAAGUGCAUUAGAAACUGUUGGAUUUGAGUUCAGGAGAGGAAGGCAGAAUUCCCGGUGUAGCGGUGAAAUGCGUAGAGAUCGGGAGGAAUACCAGUGGCGAAGGCGGCCUUCUGGACUGACACUGACGCUGAGGCGCGAAAGCCAGGGGAGCAAACGGG
rnacentral:rRNA from 1 species